rnacentral:lncRNA from 1 species
GAAGGGACCUUCGGCCGCCGAAAGUGCCGCCGAAAGUGCCCUGUCCAGCCUUUUCAUGAGUAUUCUGUAUGCAUGUUUCUUUGAUGUUUUAGGGGGUUUUUGGGGAGUUGUUUAUGAGAUGUUUAGGGUGUGUUUGGCACCUCACUGGAGUCCACCUGUGUAGGAUCGGACCCAAGGAACCGAAGUGUCUAGCAAUGUUAGCCGUUUCAGAGUCGGCCCAGAGCUAGUCAGAGGUGAGUGGAACUAAACCUAAUGCUUUAAAUAAAGAAAUUAAAUGUUUUUAGAGCAUGAUCCAUGCAUUAUAAAUGCCAUGAUAUGUAUUAGGUUGUUUUGCAUUAGAAUCCACGAAUAUAAUGCAUUGCAUAAUAUGUUGUUGAUGUGGAUGAAUAUUGGAUGAUCCUUAGCCCUCAGUAUGAGAUGAGAUAAUAUGAUAUGAGAUGACAUGGUAUGAGACAGAAAGCCCAGGUGUGGCCUAAUCGCCCCUGGCGUAGUUGAACAUGUUGUGAUAUGAGUUAUGUAAGCGAGUACUAGGUGUGGCCUCAUCGCCCCUGGUAUAGUUGGACAUAUUUCAAUAUGUAGAGGGCUAAUGGUGACAAGUUCAUCCUUAAUGUGAUAUGUUUGUGAUGUGAUGCAUUCCAUGAUGGCAUACUUGUAAAUGAGCUGUUUUGCUAGUAUGGUUUCCGCUCACUGGGCUUUAUAGCUCACCCCUCUCCCUUAACCCCAGGUUUGCAGGGUCAGAGAUAGUCAGGAGAUCAGCAGGUUAUGUCUAUGGUCAGAUUCAUGUAAUAGAUUAGUAGUGGACAUGAUGUAAGGUAAAGAUAUGUAAUGAAAUGUAAAAUAUUAUGAUGUAAAUUAAUGUAAUGUAAUAGAUAGAGUUGUGCUUUGCCCAAGUGGUGUGGUUAAUCCCUUGUAUAUGGUCAUUAUGUAUGUCUUUAAUGAGACAGGAAAACUAAGCUUAUUUUAUGUUGCCCCAUUAGAGUUGUUGAUGAGAACUCUGGUGUUGGGGUUUAUGAUUAUAAGUUUGUGCAUGCACAGGUUAAGCUUGGUGUAUGAAAGAAAGAAAAAGUUUACAGUUUUAUGUUUUACA